CGUGUAGGCGGAGGUGCAAGUUGGGAGUGAAAUCCCGGGGCUCAACCCCGGAACUGCUUUCAAAACUGCAUCCCUUGAGUGUCGGAGAGGCAAGCGGAAUUCCUAGUGUAGCGGUGAAAUGCGUAGAUAUUAGGAGGAACACCAGUGGCGAAGGCGGCUUGCUGGACGAUAACUGACGCUGAGGCGCGAAAGCGUGGGGAGCAAACA
rnacentral:rRNA from 1 species